CCUACGGGUGGCAGCAGUGGGGAAUAUUGGGCAAUGGGCGCAAGCCUGACCCAGCAACGCCGCGUGAAGGAAGAAGGCUUUCGGGUUGUAAACUUCUUUUAAGCGGGAAGAGCAGAAGACGGUACCUCUUGAAUAAGCCACGGCUAACUACGUGCCAGCAGCCGCUGUAAUACGUAGGUGGCAAGCGUUGUCCGGAUUUACUGGGUGUAAAGGGCGUGCAGCCGGGAAGACAAGUCAGAUGUGAAAUGCCCCCGCUCAACGGGGUGAAGUGCCAUUGAUACUGCCUUGCUGGAAUGCGGAUGCCGUGGGAGGAAUGUGUGGUGUAGCGGUGAAAUGCAUAGAUAUCACACAGAACACCGAUUGCGAAGGCAUCUCACGAAUCCGCGAUUGACGCUGAUGCACGAAAGCGUGGGUAUCAAACAGGAUUAGAUACCCGAGUAGUC
rnacentral:rRNA from 1 species